GACAAGAUAAGUCUUUAUAUAACUCAAUGAUAACCCUUGGACAAGAUAAGUCUCAACCUAAGGAAUGGGUUGGAUAAGAGGAUUGGAUAAUGGGCUGGAACUGGAUCAUUUCUUCUCACACAUCAUCCCAAGGUCAACUCAUCACUUUCAGUCCUCGACCAUGCCAACUUCCUCUUCUUGAGACCAAUCAGACGCCGGCUUUCCCUUUUCUGCGUGUCAUUGG